rnacentral:rRNA from 1 species
UACAGAGGGGGCGAGCGUUGUUCGGAAUUACUGGGCGUAAAGGGCGCGUAGGCGGCCCGCUAAGUCGAACGUGAAAUCCCCAGGCUCAACCUGGGAACUGCGUCCGAUACUGGCAGGCUUGAAUCCGGGAGAGGGAUGUGGAAUUCCAGGUGUAGCGGUGAAACGCGUAGAUAUCUGGAGGAACACCGGUGGCGAAGGCGGCAUCCUGGACCGGUAUUGACGCUGAGGCGCGAAAGCUAGGGGAGCAAACGGG